rnacentral:rRNA from 1 species
UUCCACGUUUUCCGCGCCGUAGCUAACGCAUUAAGUGCCCCGCCUGGGGAGUACGGCCGCAAGGCUAAAACUCAAAGGAAUUGACGGGGGCCCGCACAAGCGGCGGAGCAUGCGGAUUAAUUCGAUGCAACGCGAAGAACCUUACCAAGGCUUGACAUGAACCGGAAAGACCUGGAAACAGGUGCCCCGCUUGCGGUCGGUUUACAGGUGGUGCAUGGUUGUCGUCAGCUCGUGUCGUGAGAUGUUGGGUUAAGUCCCGCAACGAGCGCAACCCUCGUUCUAUGUUGCCAGCACGUGAUGGUGGGGACUCAUAGGAGACUGCCGGGGUCAACUCGGA